rnacentral:lncRNA from 1 species
ACCCCGGAGCAUAAGAUCUUCCCAUCCGUGGCGCCAGCGACGAAAGGUAGAUCAGCCUCUAGAUCACCUUCGCUGAUAACAAGCUUAUGGGCGGGGAUGGUGUAGCACUCGCGAUCUUCCGCACAGCAAACCGGAGUGGCUGGUGUGGAUGACGGACGAGGAGUACCUCGAGCGCCUGAGAAGGGCGGCUUAUCCACUUGCUGUGCUCGUCGUUUAGGAUGGUUCUCAUUGGUGGCAUGUUGUCCGGGUUACUGGAUUGGAC